CUUGAACCUCUAGUUCCACCAGACACACGAGCUGCAAGAGAGAAAGAUGAUCUCUUCUGUGGAGAUCCUCGACGAAAAAUCUCAAAUUUCUUUUUCUGAAUGCCCAAAGAAGCACUCGACUUGUAACCAUGUUUGGUAUGUCUCGACGAUCUCCCAGCCAGCUUCUGUGAUUUUUGAUCAGCAACGUAAUCGGCCCUAUCCUGAUCGUUUUUAUCCUCCAUUUCUGCAAGCUCCAACCCCAUCAAAUCAUCAUUCUCCAUCUCA
rnacentral:lncRNA from 1 species